UGCUUAGAAGUUCUGACGUAAACCGUGAU
rnacentral:piRNA from 1 species